UACGUAGGGUGCGAGCGUUGUCCGGAAUUACUGGGCGUAAAGAGCUCGUAGGUGGUUUGUCGCGUUGUUCGUGAAAACUCACAGCUCAACUGUGGGCGUGCGGGCGAUACGGGCAGACUAGAGUACUGCAGGGGAGACUGGAAUUCCUGGUGUAGCGGUGGAAUGCGCAGAUAUCAGGAGGAACACCGGUGGCGAAGGCGGUUCUCUGGGCAUGUCCUGACGCUGAGGAGCGAAAGUGUGGGGAGCGAACAGG
rnacentral:rRNA from 1 species